UACGUAGGGUGCGAGCGUUGUCCGGAAUUAUUGGGCGUAAAGAGCUCGUAGGCGGUGUGUCGCGUCGGCCGUGAAAACCUGCAGCUUAACUGUGGGCGUGCGGUCGAUACGGGCAUCACUGGAGUUCGGCAGGGGAGACUGGAAUUCCUGGUGUAGCGGUGAAAUGCGCAGAUAUCAGGAGGAACACCGAUGGCGAAGGCAGGUCUCUGGGCCAUUACUGACACUGGAGAAGCGAAAGCAUGGGGAGCGAACAGG
rnacentral:rRNA from 1 species